UCAGAUAUAUUAUCUUGAAUUAAUUUAUCUAAGUUCAAUUAUUUAUCUUUCCAUGCAAUCCUAUUAGCAUACAUGUAGACAGUUAUAUUCACAGUAUGGAAAAAUUAAAGUGCGAAAAAUAAGAUUACGCUAUUACAUGGCUUCGGGAUGGGGGGUACAUAAUUUAAAAGGGGAUAUAAAAUAUCUAUAUCUUAAUUAACGAGUACAAAAUUAAAAGGGCAUA
rnacentral:lncRNA from 1 species